rnacentral:lncRNA from 1 species
UUGCAUUGUGAGUGUGCUUGGUUCUCAAAGUUUUUUGUUUCUUUUUCAGUGUCGUUCAGGGUGAUUGGACUAACGUGAUUGAUUCUAAGUUGUUCCCAUCAAAGUUGUUGACAUCCCUACAGGGAUUAAUCCAUUGGUUCUUGCGGUGAUUUCUAUCUGAUCUACUCUUUUGUUCUUUUUCUGGUCUUUUUUAUUAUUUUUUUAAUUUUUCAAUGAUCUUGGAUUAUGUACAUGGAAUUUUGAUGUGUUUACUGGAAUUGUAGGACCCACGGGGGUUUGUGAUUCCUAUUGGUCAUUUUCUUACUUCUUUACGUACUCUUGGUGUCUGUUUCUGCAUGAAAAAGGUGUUAUCAAAUUAUUUACAUCUUUUUGCUUGUCGCAUGCAUGCAGGGGUUUGGGGAUCGUUUCUUGAAUUUUGGUAAGGCUGGGCGUUGAUUUGCAUUCUUUUGGUUGUUUUUUUAUCUUUUUCUUCUUUUCCUUGUUUCCUAUUCUCUUCCUUGUGAUUAAUCUCCAAGAUUUCUUGUUUUGUUGUUUUCCUGAUCUUAUCUGCUUACUUAGGUUUUAUUACUGUUCUUGAUUCUAUUUUUCGUUGUUUUGA